rnacentral:rRNA from 1 species
CCUACGGGAGGCAGCAGUGAGGAAUAUUGGUCAAUGGGCGGGAGCCUGAACCAGCCAAGUCGCGUGAGGGAAGAAGGUCCAGCGUAUCGUAAACCUCUUUUGUCAGGGAACAAAGGCGGGGACUAGUCCCCGGAUGUGGGUACCUGAUGAAUAAGCAUCGGCUAACUCCGUGCCAGCAGCCGCGGUAAUACGGAGGAUGCGAGCGUUAUCCGGAUUUAUUGGGUUAAAAGGGUGCGCAGGGGGCCUGUUAAGUCAGUGGUAAAAGCCCGGGGCUCAACCCCGGCGAGCCGUUGAAACUGGCGGGCUUGAGUUGGAUAGAGGUACGCGGAAUGCGCGGUGUAGCGGUGAAAUGCUUAGAUAUCGCGCAGAACCCCGAUUGCGAAGGCAGCGUACCGGCUCCACACUGACGCUGAGGCACGAAAGCGUGGGUAUCGAACAGGAUUAGAUACCCCAGUAGUC